GGGGACGUUCUGGAUUCGACAGGGAUAGGUCGGACUUACGUUGCGCGUCGAGCUGAGUGUCCUCGUAAAAACGCUCACCUGCCUAUAGUUGGCAAACAAGAAGAAGACUUCGCACUAGCAGCGGCGUAACAACCCUGCUUGCGGUUCCUCCCUCCAUCGCCCAUGUGGAGGAUCAGGGACUCAAAUGAAGUGGGAUACGUCAGGCUUUUUCCACCUGGAGAAGCCUGAAAGAGAUUAAUCAGGUUAGCCAUAUGGAAGCCUGUCCGCUGGCUGAAGUAUCGGCGAAAUUUAAAUAAACGGACUACACGCGUAGACGCGUAAGUUUCGUUAUCCCUGGACGCGGGUUCAAUUCCCGCCGUCUCCACCA
rnacentral:tmRNA from 1 species